UCCGUAGGCGGGCAAUUAAGUCAGAGGUGAAAUCCCACAGCUCAACUGUGGAACUGCCUUUGAUACUGGUUGUCUUGAGUUAUAGUGAAGUAGAUAGAAUGUGUAGUGUAGCGGUGAAAUGCAUAGAUAUUACACAGAAUACCGAUUGCGAAGGCAGUCUACUAACUAUAUACUGACGCUAAUGGACGAAAGCGUGGGGAGCGAACAGGAUUAGAUACCCUGGUAGUCC
rnacentral:rRNA from 1 species